ACAGCGUUGUUGAGAAAGCGCUCUGUGUGUCUGUUUUUCUUUCUCACAAUGGGGGCACAGUUGAGUUGAGCCUCUGACCAGAAGAAGCUUAAUUUAGUGUUUGUUUGUCAACAGAAUUGCCCUGAGAAGGAAGUCGGCCAGCUGUUCGUCUUCUACGCUUUCUCCCUGGGCCUCAUAACCCACAGGACAAGGGUUGAAAGCCCCACUGGACAACCCCGGAAGACCUGACUCUGACUGGCCAGAGGGUUCGGGGGCAGUGAUGACAGAGGCAGAGCGAGGGAGACAAAGAUAUAUAUACUGUAUAUAUGAGGGGGCUCAGUCUACCAGCUGCUCCUGAUGUUUGUGCUGGAACACGAGUGCUGGCCAGCACUGCAAGGAAAUAAUCACACUGAGGCUGCUUUCCCAAAAUCACAGAGUUACACAAUAGUUAUUCUGUACCCUGGGUUCAAAAGUUAACAGCAUGGUUUUGGGGAAAAAAACAGAACUGAUAUUUAGAAAGGUUUCUGCUUUUGUGACUUGUUGUUCUAAUACACAAGAUCUUCAGAUGAUUUGAGAAAUUGACAUUUUUUGAGUGCAUGAUUAUAAUUAUACAAUUAUAUACAAAAAAGUAUACAUUAUUGGCAGUCCAAGAACUGUGAAACAUGAUGGUAAUGUGAAUUUAACCAAGUACCAGAUAUUUUUAGAAUAGAAAUACAUGUUAGAGGAAGAUGCCCAAGCUAGUAUUCUCUCCAUGGAAGGCUUCAAGAAAUAUUUAAUUAUACAACAAAUUUAACAAAUAUUAAUCAUAUCAGGGAGAUGAUUCAUGGAUUAGAAAUUAGUUUUUUCAAUUCCCUUAUUUCUGUAAAGCUGCUUAUUGACGAUGUAUUCUAU